rnacentral:rRNA from 1 species
AUUGAACGCUGGCGGCAUGCCUUACACAUGCAAGUCGAACGGUAACAGGCCGCAAGGUGCUGACGAGUGGCGAACGGGUGAGUAAUGCAUCGGAGCGUGCCCAGUAGUGGGGGAUAGCCCGGCGAAAGCCGGAUUAAUACCGCAUACGACCUGAGGGUGAAAGGGGGGGAUCGCAAGACCUCUCGCUAUUGGAGCGGCCGAUGUCAGAUUAGCUAGUUGGUGGGGUAAAGGCCUACCAAGGCAACGAUCUGUAGUUGGUCUGAGAGGACGACCAGCCACACGGGGACUGAGACACGGCCCAGACUCCUACGGGAGGCAGCAGUGGGGAAUUUUGGACAAUGGGCGCAAGCCUGAUCCAGCAAUGCCGCGUGCAGGAAGAAGGCCUUCGGGUUGUAAACUGCUUUUGUCAGGGAAGAAAUCUUCUGGGUUAAUACCUCGGGAGGAUGACGGUACCUGAAGAAUAAGCACCGGCUAACUACGUGCCAGCAGCCGCCGUAAUAC